rnacentral:rRNA from 1 species
GGAUUCCCCUAGUAACUGCGAGUGAAGCGGGAAAAGCUCAAAUUUAAAAUCUGGCGGUCUUUGGCCGUCCGAGUUGUAAUCUGGAGAAGCGUUUUCCGCGUCGGACCGUGUACAAGUCUCCUGGAACGGAGCGUCAUAGAGGGUGAGAAUCCCGUCUUUGACACGGACUGCCGAUGCUAUGUGAUGCGCUCUCAAAGAGUCGAGUUGUUUGGGAAUGCAGCUCAAAAUGGGUGGUAAAUUCCAUCUAAAGCUAAAUAUUGGCGAGAGACCGAUAGCGAACAAGUACCGUGAGGGAAAGAUGAAAAGAACUCUGGAAAGAGAGUUAAACAGUACGUGAAAUUGUUGAAAGGGAAACGCUUGAAGUCAGUCGCGUCUGCUGGGGAUCAACCUUGCUCUUUUGCUUGGUGUACUUCCUAGUUUGACGGGUCAGCAUCGGUUUUGAUUGCUGGAAAAAGGGUGGAGGAAUGUGGCAUCUUCGGGUGUGUUAUAGCCUCUGCUCUCAUACAGCGGUUGGGACCGAGGAACUCAGCACGCCUUUUUGGCCGGGGUUCGCCCACGUACGUGCUUAGGAUGCUGGCAUAAUGGCUUUAAGCGACCCGUCUUGAAACACGGACCAAGGAGUCUAACAUGCCCGCGAGUGUUUGGGUGGAAAACCCGGACGCGUAAUGAAAGUGAUAGUUGAGACCUCUGUCGUGGAGGGCAUCGACGCCCGGACCAGACCUUCUGUGACGGUUCCGCGGUAGAGCGUGUAUGUUGGGACCCGAAAGAUGGUGAACUAUGCCUGAAUAGGGUGAAGCCAGAGGAAACUCUGGUGGAGGCUCGUAGCGAUUCUGACGUGCAAAUCGAUCGUCAAAUUUGGGUAUAGGG